UUCGGCUAGUAGGAAAACCCUAUUUGCCGCUCGAGCAGAGCAAGGGAUUCGUCAGGCGGCGGCGGCUCGCGAGUACGAGCUCGACGGCGGCUGAGCAUCGUCGGGUUCGGGAGUUGGAGACUCGCAAGUACGAGUACCCACGUGGGUCUGUAGAUCGAGAGAGCAGUCAGGCGGCGGCGACUCGCGAGUACGAGCUCGACGGCGGCUGAGCAUCGUCGGGUUCGGGAGUUGGAGAGGAUGAGGGGGAGGCGGCGGCGCGGCGGGCGCCUGGGGUCUCGGCAUCCGACCUCAGGUCCAAGCUGCCGACGGAGGCUGUUGCGCCGCGAGCACGCUGAGCCUGAGGUAGCUGGACGACGGCCAGAGCGAUGCACGAGGAGGCGAGCCCGAGGGCGUCUUCGUCCAGAUCUCCUCACGCCGGUGCGCAUGGCGCCUCCUGCCGAUCGCGACGCGGUAAACGAACAGAGCAUGUGCUCGCGGCGGAGGAUGCUCUCUCGCUCCCGCGGAACGCUCGCCUCGCCCGCCACCACGGACAAGCAGGCAACAAAAUGGAGCAUAUUCCAGAAGGAUUUAUUUUGCACAUAAAAGUGAUGGCUUGGGCCUUCGGCACCAUGGUGGCAUCAGUUUGCACGUUGUCGCUCCACUUGUAUUGCUGGUUGCAAAGAAAGGUGCGAACAGUCCAUUAGGAGGUGAAACUUAAGCACUAUAUAGUGAAAAUUUCCCUAGCGUUGUGCGACUGCUGCUGUUGCAUUUAAAUCGGUUUGUCCAAAUCGACAGUCCGAGGCUCCAACCGAUGCAGUCGCGACCCCAUUCGCGACCCCACCUCUAUAUCAGCUCACCACCCAACCAGUUACACUCAGUUAUGUGACAGUUUUGAUUCAUUCUACAGAAUUAUUGGAACUCUGGAAUGACCAAAUCCCAAUUCUGCUUCAAAGGGAAAACACAUAACGUGGAAUCAGACAUUAUUUCUCUCAAAGCAUUGAUACACUUUUGCUCUGAGCUGUUGCAAGAAUUAACUGCUCUGAGCGAUCUUCUGCUCCUUGAGGUACCCUGCAAAUUUCUCAGCAGUUGCAGCCAGAGGUCCGGUGCUGACCAUAGCUUCAAGCCCGGGGCCAGGGAUCCCUAGCAAAAGCAGCAAACCGUUACUCGGUCAGUAUACACAUGGACGACUUCAGGAUUGAAGGGUAUGGUUUCUGGAUAUCUCACCUGGAGCAAAUGUGAGCUCCAAGAUGGUGCCGACGUCGCCAUCGCCGCUCACGAGCUGUAUCUUGGCGAGCACCUGCGGGAGAAGCUCGGGCAGCAGCUCUGCCGCACGGAGCGUGCCGUAGAGCCCCCAUAGGUCGGCG